rnacentral:rRNA from 1 species
GCUGCGUGCCGAGGAAGGACGGGGCACGGCACCGAUAUGCUCCGGGGAGCCGCGUGCAGGCUGUGAUCCGGAGGUCUCCGAAUGGGGCAACCCGCCACCGUCAGGUGGCGCUCCCACUGGGAGCGGGAACCCGGCCAACUGAAACAUCUCAGUAGCCGGAGGAAGAGCGAACGACGCCCGUAGUAGCGGCGAGCGAACCGGGCGAGGCCUAAACCGUGGCCGUGCCAAGCCGCCAAGCGUUGCGGCCACGGGGUUGGAGGACUUGUCAGGCAGGAGUUGGCGCUCCUGCGCCGCGCGACCGUAGUUAGGCGAAGCAGUGUGGAACCCUGCACCGCAGAGCGUGACAGUCGCGUAG